UACGGAGGGUGCGAACGUUAAUCGGAAUUACUGGGCGUAAAGCGCGCGUAGGCGGUUCGGUAAGUGGGAUGUGAAAGCCCCGGGCUUAACCUGGGAACUGCAUUCCAAACUGCCGAGCUAGAGUAUGGUAGAGGGAGGUAGAAUUUCCUGUGUAGCGGUGAAAUGCGUAGAUAUAGGAAGGAAUACCAGUGGCGAAGGCGGCCUCCUGGAUCAAUACUGACGCUGAGGUGCGAAAGCGUGGGGAGCAAAC
rnacentral:rRNA from 1 species